ACUCCUACGGGAGGCAGCAGUGGGGAAUCUUGCGCAAUGGCCGCAAGGCUGACGCAGCGACGCCGCGUGUGGGAGGACGCCCUUCGGGGUGUAAACCACUGUUGCCCGGGACGAACGGGCGGAUUCGUCCGCCGUGACGGUACCGGGUGAGGAAGCACCGGCUAACUCCGUGCCAGCAGCCGCGGUAAUACGGAGGGUGCGAGCGUUGUCCGGAAUCACUGGGCGUAAAGGGCGCGUAGGCGGCUCCAUAAGCGGGCGGUGAAAGCCCGGGGCUCAACCCCGGGUCGGCCGUGCGGACUGUGGGGCUGGAGCACUGUAGAGGCGGGUGGAAUUCCGGGUGUAGCGGUGGAAUGCGUAGAGAUCCGGAAGAACACCGGUGGCGAAGGCGGCCCGCUGGGCAGUGGCUGACGCUGAGGCGCGACAGCGUGGGGAGCAAACAGGAUUAGAUACCCUGGUAG
rnacentral:rRNA from 1 species